UACGUAGGGGGCAAGCGUUGUCCGGAUUUAUUGGGCGUAAAGAGCGUGUAGGCGGCCAGACAGGUCCGUUGUGAAAACUCGAGGCUCAACCUCGAGAUGUCGAUGGAAACCGUCUGGCUAGAGUCCGGAAGAGGAGUGUGGAAUUCCUGGUGUAGCGGUGAAAUGCGCAGAUAUCAGGAAGAACACCAAUGGCGAAAGCAGCUUUCUGGGACGGUACUGACGCUGAGACGCGAAAGCGUGGGGAGCGAACAGG
rnacentral:rRNA from 1 species